rnacentral:rRNA from 1 species
UACGGGGGGGGUAAGCGUUGUUCGGAAUUACUGGGCGUAAAGGGCUCGUAGGCGGCCAACUAAGUCAUACGUGAAAUCCCUCAGCUUAACUGGGGAACUGCGUGUGAUACUGGAUGGCUUGGAUUUGGGAGAGGGAUGCGGAAUUCCAGGUGUAGCGGUGAAAUGCGUAGAUAUCUGGAGGAACACCGGUGGCGAAGGCGGCAUCCUGGACCAAUAUUGACGCUGUGGAGCGAAAGCCAGGGGAGCAAACGGG